rnacentral:rRNA from 1 species
GUGGAUUAGAUACCCUGGUAGUCCACGCCGUAAACGAUGGGUGCUAGACGUUGGCGAGCUUGCUCGUCAGUGUCGCAGCUAACGCGUUAAGCACCCCGCCUGGGGAGUACGGCCGCAAGGUUGAAACUCAAAGGAAUUGACGGGGGCCCGCACAAGCGGUGGAGCAUGUGGUUCAAUUCGACGCAACGCGCAGAACCUUACCAGCCCUUGACAUGUGACUCGCCGGCUCCAGAGACGGAGCCUUCGGUUCGGCCGGAGUCAACACAGGUGCUGCACGGCCGUCGCCAGCU